rnacentral:tRNA from 1 species
UCCCUGAUAACUCAGUUGGUAAAGAAUCUGCCUGCAAUGUAGGAGACCCGGGGUUCGAUUCCUGGGUGGGGAA